AAUCUAUGGAUUAAAUAUAAAGUAUUGGCUUUUAGGGGCCACUGACAGGGAAGAAUAAUGAGAAUGAGCUUGCUUUUAUAGAAUUGCCCCUUAUAUGAAUUUUUACAUCACUGAGAAAAAUGUCUUCUAUGCUUUCUCUCCCUCCUUCUCUUCCUUUCUCAAUAAUUAGGGGUAAACUUCCUUGACUCACUCUUGUAUUUUGUUUUAGACUGUAUCUAACGUCCCUGUAGAAAGAACCACCUUACAUAUUAUUAAAUCACCAGGCAGGCUUAAAGACCAUCUGAAGCUGUAUUUUAUUUCAGACCACUGGAGUUCUUCUACUGUUUGACAAUUGGGUUGAUCCUAGCUAUAGAAUCUUAUUUUUCCCUAGAAGUGAUAAUCUAUGACAAAUAUUGGGGAUUAAUACAAGCUCACUGAAUAAUGUCCAUGGAAACAAGAGAAAGAAACCCUUUGUUUCUCUCUCUCUCUCUCUCUCUCUCUCUCUCUCUCCUUCCACUCCCCCCCCCAACUACUACAUUUUUUUCUGCAACUAAGACUUUUGGAAUUUUUAUAACAUCAAGAAUGCUUACCUUCUGCAGAAAGUCCUUGACCCAGAGGUACCUUGGGAAAUUUUAGGAGCUGGCCUAAUCCUAUAUAUAUUCCAGGCAAAUUUUGACAGGCUUAUUGCUUUUCAUCAUUAAGUGAUCCUGGAACUUUUCCUAAAUAGUCAGGCAUGUUAACACUAGCAUCUUGAUCCAGUUCCAACUCAACCUUCAAGUUAUUCCAUUUAGGCUAGUCACUGCGUUUUCCCUUACUCUGUCUGUGACCUAAGCCAUUCCAGGAGACCUCUGUGUGUGCUGUUAAUAUUUGUAGAGUUCUCAGGGGACAGAACUCCAGAAAAGCUACAUAAUAUGGCUUUAUUAUUAUUACUAAUCACAGGGCCCUACCUCAAAGGAAUGAAGGCAAAAAAAGAUGAAUAAGCAUUGAUAAAUGGCUUGCAAAAUAGAAAAUGCUGUUUAAAAAAAAAAAGAGCCCUAAAUCUACUAUAAAGAGUGGAGACAGCAUGCAAAUGUGAUUAGGGAGAUGGGGUCAGAGGAUGACUGCUCGAGUGUGGUGCAGUUAGGGUCAGGGUGACCGAAUUCCACUAUGAUGUAAUCCUUGCACAUACCAAUCUCAGAAGCAGGCAUUGGGAAGCAGGCUGUUCAACGUGGCAGUACAGCUCUGCUUAUGGAGGGGUAAAGAGAACAAAAACACUUUGGUUUCUUGCUGUGCUGGGAUCCCACUCUCCCUGUCACUGGCUGCCACUAAAUUUAACUCUCACCACCAUGAAAAAUGUCAAAAUAUGUGUGUUAAGUAAAGGCUGCUCAGCCAGCCUCCUAAAAGAAAACAUUUAGCAAUAACAGAUUUUCUAGGAUAGAUAGUAUUAUGGGCAGUGGUUAGCCCGUUUACUGUGGCAAUUUAUUACUUACAGUUUCUUCAGAAAUUUAAUCAAAACAGAUGAAAGGCUUAGUUAGGCCUUGGGCAAGCCUAGGUUUUACAAGAUGAGAUAAAAGAUAAAGGAAAUAUAUUCUCUGAGAAAUCUGGUCCUGGGGGUAUGGGAAGAUGUAGUUAGACAUGAAGCACCUGCAGGCCAUGAGGCUCAGGUGGGUUUUAUGCUCUCGAAGCAGCAGUGGCUAUGGACAAUUCUUUCAUCUUACUUAUACCUGUCUACAUCCUACUUUCUAUGUCUCCUGCCCAUAGGAAGGGAGCACACUAUUUUCCACCACACAGAGAUUCCAAGAAACAAAUACAAUUUUAAUUUUUGGAAGACUUUGUAGUUCCUGGAAGAAAGCUGCUGCCCAGAGGGACUUUAUUACCACGUACUCUGCUUUCCAGGUGCACGGGGGUCCAGACCCCAGGUGCAAGGAUAUCGAAAUUUCAACACCAUGCGUUUUCAUUUUCUCACUUGCGUCUGCUGUAUGCAGUACCCGCCACUUCACGAGAGGCAGGAUCAGUUCUCAAAAUGAAAUUAGGAAACACUGGUGACUUACAGACCUGUGAACAUCAAAACUGAAAGAGAACUUGUAAGCAAGCAACCAAAGCCGAUCCGGGAAGCUUCAGUUCCUUCUUCGCAUUCCUGGCAGACAUGAGCCAACCUUGCUUAAAGAUUUUCACAGAGUACACUAGCUCUCAGAGUGGUGUUUCCUUCAGGGGGUGCAUGUUCUUGUUACAAAAUUAUAUGAGAAUUAUAGGUAUGUAUGUGCAUAACUUGUAUACCCAGCUAGGAAAGGCCCAAUCCCACAAAGCUGUAUUUUCUUAUUUAAAAGCUGACCACAGUGCUGAGAAUCACAGCCUUACAUAUGAGGAAGUUAAGACCAGAGUGAAAUUGUGUAUAAACCUGGCAAGGGUGCCCAUAGUCUUUACUGCAGUUUUAAGGGGAUAUACUUUUGUUGUUGGCACCAAACAUAUAUUUUUAUUGAUUUAGAAUGUCUGUGGUGAGAACAUAUUAUAAAUAAAACUUUACUGAUUUUCCUUCUCUCUCUCUCUCUCUUUCUCUCUCUCUCUCUCUCUUUCUGCAGCAACCAAAUGCUUUUACCCACUGGAGUCUAAUGAGUAACAGCUGUGCUUGAAAGGGUCCUACAGAUAAAAAUCAAAAUGUGCAGAUGGCAAAGAAGAAUAUAUCCCAGAAUUCCAGCAGUUAUGAAAAGAUAACAUUAAGUACAGCCGGAGGUCCAGAAGGGAUGUGGUUAAGACUUGUCAAGCUAUUUAAAGUCAUUUACAAGGAGAAAUCCCACACUCAAUGACUCUUAGGAGCAUAACUUUCUGCCUAAGAAAAAGCAAUGAACGUAUUCAGCCAUUUGUGAUAGAGGUUAGUGUCCCUUCAUUUAUAUGCAAAUUAGUCAAAAUGCUAGGAAAACCUAUAAAAUUUUAAAUAUUCCACACCAGGGGCUUACACUAAGAGUCUUUGUCAAAUAAAAUGAGUUCUCACAGAUCUGCUUUGAGCCACUUUGCCUCUAAGCACAGUCUCUCUCAGAGGAAGGAAACAGUAAAGUUCUCACACAGAGAGAAAAACGUUUACCACUCAGUAAAAAUCCCUGGGCCCUGCUGUAUGAAAGCUUUAAUUUAGCUCAGCUCACUGCUCCAUGAGGUAAUUUCGAGUGCCAAUAAAAGGAGAUUAUUUUUGGACUGCGAAUCUGCCUGGCACAUUCUUUGAACUUAGUAGAGCUAAAUAAAGCUAUCCAAACUCGCAUGAUUUUUGGAGAAGGUCAUCCACACAGGAUAUCCCUGAGAUAGUUGUUAUGUACGCACUGCAGAGCAAACACGAAAGGAAGAGAUUAGGGGCCAUAGGCAUGAAUAGACCCACUUCUUAAACAUACAAUAACUGGAAAAGAUAUGAACCAGGAGCUACAAGAGCAAUCACAUACAUAGCCAGGACAUAUGGGAAGGACAGAAGGAAUGACGUAGGCUGCCUGUACAGAACAAUUGUGCCUUAGCUCUGGCUGUGGAGGAGAGCUGGUUUCUACUGGGAUAACUACUUCACCUCCUUAAGACCCAGUCACUUUACUGUAGUGGAAACCAACUCUCUUCCCUGAAGGGUUGUAAUUGAAUCUGAGCCUGUUACAUGUGUUAAAGCUUCCUGAAAACCAUUGUACAAGGCUAAUAUGUUAGUCUGGGUGAGUUUUCUUGCCAACAUCAUCAGUUUCUUUCUUCUUCUUCUGAUAACUGUGAGACAAGCUUACUAUGGACAAUUAGAGAAGACUAGAGAAAAGAAAAGAAAAUAUCAAUAUUGUAUCAUUGACAGAUGAAUUUAAUAUUUAACAUUUAAUACAUUGUCUUCUUGUAGGUUUUCUGCUGUUGUUGGUUUUUUUGUUUGUUUGUUUUUGUGGUGGUGGUUUUGUUUGUUUGUUUGUUUUUUGUUUGUUUAGCCUCUUGUAGCAGUUGAGAGAAAUAGCACCUUAUUACUUCAUUAACUUCCAGAAAUUAAUCCUGUACUUUUGAUUUGCACCAUCCAUCAGAAUAAAUUCAGAACAGAACCAGAGGGAAGUUGCUGUGGACUGGAUUCAGCCAGUGGACCAUAAGAUGUGGCUGGCAUACAGUGUUCACAUCUUUGCUCGUCCCCCAGUAUCAGCUAGCCAAGCUAAAGUGAGAGAGAGAAUGGGGGAGUCAACCGACAGCUGUAAGAGAAGAGUGGAAUGGAAGGGCCAAAGGGUCUCUAGAGAAGGGGCCCCUGGCCAAGCCCCUUCCAGUCCCCCCUUCUGUGAGACCUGGCUGCCAAGCCUGUGAUUUCUUGGUGAUGGUCCUUAAUCCUUUGUCAGGUUAAUUGACAGCGAAGUCUGCACUUUUGCAGCUAAUGAUAAAUAGAGCUUUUAAAGUUGUAAUUUCUUGUUUAACUAAUGCCAGUUGCAAAUACUUUGUGCUGAGAAAUAAUUCCUCUCUGCCAAAUAAAAUACAGUGGACGUCUGUGGUGUGUUUCUCAGCUUAUUGUUAGUCACAGAUCGCCUGACAGAGCACUUUCUACACGGGAGAUAAAUGCCAGGCAGACUGACUGCCAAUUUCAGCACAGAAAAGACUUCUCUUAUGAAAUGAAAAGACAGUUUUGUUUUUCUAAAAAAAAAACAUUAAUAAAGUUCCCUCCCACCUAUAUUUUUAAACUUUAACAAAACCAUUUCAGAAAUAAAUGCCUUAGUACCUUGAAAUGAGGAUUCGUUGAGUGUCUGUGUACGCUUCUCUCAUUCCCUCUUCCAUCCAGAGGCUCUGAUUUGCACAAAGCACCUCCAGCCUCCACAUAAGGGCCAAGAAGACACUCUGUAGUCAGCUCACAGAAUGCUGGGGUGCUAUGGGGUAUAGAACCAAGUAAAGAUUUCCCCAAGGGCCUGCCCAUCUCUACAUAGAAUAGAAGGUGACAAGGAGUAGUGCCUCAUUUAUGAACGGUAGAGGCAGACUCUCUUUGGCUUGUUUAGAAUUAAAUUGUUAUUACUGCUCCCCCACAUGCUGAGAAGAGCCAGCAUGCCUCACAACACAGACAGAAGGAUUUCAAGGCCCUUCGCACACAUGCCUGUAAUGAUAUUUGAAUGUCAGUGAAGCUGGCAGCCUAGACACAUCCUGUGGUCAUUUUCUUUUUCAAAAAGGAAGUAAAUUGACAUAUCUGAUUUUAUGGUUUGGGAAAUUAGUUUUUAUGAAUAAGAAUGCUUACAGUGAGGCCCUCCAGGAGCCCAGGAAGUUCACUAGGUCUCAGGUGAAAUACAAGAGGGCAAGGCUCAUCCAAUCAUGACUUGUGUGACCACUUGUUGCUUAUAGAGGUGAACAUGGGCCUUUAGGGGAUAUAUCUGUACCCUUUGGGAAAUAUUUCAGAUCUCCUUUGUAUUGAAACAAACAAACAAAAAUCAUUACAUGUCCUUUGAUAGUGACUUAGAUACAGAUAUACUUCACAGAUUGGCCUACAACAUGACUUUGGAGAUUU